UUUCAUGGCGGCUGUGCGUGGGGCGCCUCCGGGCGCGCCGGUUUCCUAUUGGCCGGUCGACUAACCCGCGUACAGCUGCCACCCAC
rnacentral:antisense_RNA from 1 species